rnacentral:tRNA from 1 species
GCGGUGAUAGUCUAGUUGGUCAGGACGUAUCGUUGUGGCCGAUAAGACCUGAGUUCGAAUCUCAGUCACCGCA